CACAUUAUCUCCCGCUAGAGGCGCCGUAGUAAGCGCAAUUUCAACCUACAAACUUUCUUCAACAGAAAACGAAGCGUUUUUAUUGCAUGAUAAAGACUAUAAAAUUAUAAUUCCUAAUUUUGUCAUAUUAAACGCAAAAUAGCGUUCAGCCAGGCCCCGCACACUCUCAAGUUCAACAAAUGGCCACAGAGGGCGAAAAAUCAAUCAAGGCGUGUGGAAUUGGUGGAAGGAUUGGUGGAAGAAAAGUAGGGAAACGACAAAAUACGGAGGCGUACAAAAGCACAGUUCGCAAUAGGGUAUCAGAAAAUUUUGACGUGGUAGUUCAUAGUGUUUUUUUUUUUUUUCAUUGGUUAACCUAGGUAGGAUAUUAGGCAGCAUAGUAGCAAGGGCUUGGUGGCGCAAGCCACCGCCCCGUUCCAAAGGGGACGCUCAUAACAUCCAUCCAUCCAUCCAUCCAUCCAUCCAUCCAUCCAUCCAUCCAUCCAUCCAUCCAUCCAUCCAUCCAUCCAUCCAUCCAUCCAUCCAUCCAUCCAUCCGUGUUUCAGCGUAAGCGCGCAAGUGGAGCUACUGUAAUUCUGUCAAAUACUUUAAUUUGUGCUUUUUCUGCUAGGGGCGCUGAACAUGCUGAAUUUUUUACUUUACACAAACCAUUGACAUAAACAAUCGAGGUGUCUAAGGAUGUUUUUUUACCUCAGGCAAAUAGGCAGUUGAUUUUUUUUUUAAUUUGAUUGUUGAAGCUGCUUUUUAGUCAUAGCGUCAAUGUUUUUGUACUUGAUUAACCACCGACAGCCUAUUGGUAUCGAUGUGUUUCCUGGCCGUUCACGGAGGAAGGAAACUAAGGUACAGUGACUAAGGAGAGACAUGCGUUUCCCCGCAGGCCGGCUGAGGCCGGUGAACAAUAGAAGGCAGCAUCCACGUGACCCUGCGUUCCCGGAUGUUAGUUCCCUAAGUUGGUUUCCAACUGUCCCUAUGGGGCCACUGAAUACCUAGUGUGUCACGUGAUUGGGGAGGUUUCUUCCCUGUAUUGCUGCCGGAUUAUACAACAACCCUAGUGCGUGCAAUGUCGGAAUGGCGCACGUCUGUGAUCGAGCUGCCAUCGGCGAUGACGAUCGUCGCUGCGAAAUCUGCAGCAAACUAUUCAUACAGAGGAAGAACAUGCUGCAACACAUCAGGAACGUUCACAAAAUGGCCGUGGAUGUCAAGAAAUUGAUGAAAUGCGACGUAUGUGGCACUUCCCUGCCUACAAUGGAGAAGUAUUCGGUGCACCAGAUCGCUGCGCACAACUUCGAGGCUGAUUACGUGCACCUGGUGUUCCGGAACAAUAAGAAAUUUCAUGAAUGGAAAGCAGAAGAAUAGGGUAGCCAAAACUGCUGGUUCAUUUUGCCCAGGGACCCCAAAAAGCUGGCCAGUGGAGAAACAAGGAUCCACUAUUACUGUAAUAGAUCAGGCGAGGCAAGGAAAAAGGAAGGUCAUGGUGACCGUCGGGAGAAAAGUCAUGGGAGCUGUAGGUCUGAUCUUGUGCUAUGAGAUGAGGAGGUGUAAAAUAAAAACACCGUGUAGAUUUCACAAUGCCUUUAAGAAACCACGCGAAGCUUGGAGAUGAAGCAUUACAUGCACCUUGAACCAAGUGUCUGGACACAGCGAGUGAAAGUUGUUUUGUCAUGAGCGAGGGUGUUGGUGUUACUUGUAACUACCUUUAAAUAAAGGUUUGUUUCAAAACAGUGGCUCAACUCUGUGUUUCCCCCGGUAAAAAACACAACCAUUGGGAUUUUCAUGAGCGAGGGUGUCGG